AGAGUUUGAUCAUGGCUCAGAUUGAACGCUGGCGGCAGGCCUAACACAUGCAAGUCGAGCGGUAGAGAGAAGCUUGCUUCUCUUGAGAGCGGCGGACGGGUGAGUAAUGCCUAGGAAUCUGCCUAGUGGUGGGGGAUAACGUUCGGAAACGGACGCUAAUACCGCAUACGUCCUACGGGAGAAAGCGGGGGAUCUUCGGACCUCGCGCCAUUAGAUGAGCCUAGGUCGGAUUAGCUAGUUGGUGAGGUAAUGGCUCACCAAGGCGACGAUCCGUAACUGGUCUGAGAGGAUGAUCAGUCACACUGGAACUGAGACACGGUCCAGACUCCUACGGGAGGCAGCAGUGGGGAAUAUUGGACAAUGGGCGAAAGCCUGAUCCAGCCAUGCCGCGUGUGUGAAGAAGGUCUUCGGAUUGUAAAGCACUUUAAGUUGGGAGGAAGGGCAGUAACCUAAUACGUUAUUGUUUUGACGUUACCGACAGAAUAAGCACCGGCUAACUUCGUGCCAGCAGCCGCGGUAAUACGAAGGGUGCAAGCGUUAAUCGGAAUUACUGGGCGUAAAGCGCGCGUAGGUGGUUCAGUAAGUUGGAAGUGAAAUCCCGGGCUCAACCUGGGAACUGCUUUCAAAACUGCUGAGCUAGA
rnacentral:rRNA from 1 species